GUCCUGGGUCAAGGUCACAAUUAUAGGAAGACGCGCAUGUGUGUGUCCAAUGUGUGUUUGUGUUUGUCCAGUGUGUGUGUGUGUGUGUCCAACACACACACA